UCACACUGGGUCACAUGAUGCCGAGGGAUAGUGGAAGUUACACCAUCCGGGACACCAAGAAUAAAGAAGACAUUGAGAUAUACGCCGUGUCUGUGGAAGAAAAGCCUGGUUUUCCUGCAUGGGGGAUUGUACUGAUACUGAUUCUGCUCUGCUGCUGUGUUGGAGCAGGUAUAUUCCUACUGUAUAAACGCCAUAUGAGAAAACAGUUGGAGAGGCGACUGCAACAAGUGGACCAGCUUGU